AGCAGUAGCCACGGGAAUACAGAGGGUGCGAGCGUUAAUCGGAUUUACUGGGCGUAAAGCGUGCGUAGGCGGCUUCUUAAGUCGGAUGUGAAAUCCCUGAGCUUAACUUAGGAAUUGCAUUCGAUACUGGGAAGCUAGAGUAUGGGAGAGGAUGGUAGAAUUCCAGGUGUAGCGGUGAAAUGCGUAGAGAUCUGGAGGAAUACCGAUGGCGAAGGCAGCCAUCUGGCCUAAUACUGACGCUGAGGUACGAAAGCAUGGGGAGCAAACAGGAUUAGAUACCCCGGUAGUCCCUGUCUCUUAUAC
rnacentral:rRNA from 1 species